GUGCCAAUCACCGAGUUUCAGCCAAUCAAAGGUAGCCAACUCUUCAAGCUAGGUUCAAAUAAGGCAAACUCUGAUCUGUAACCAAUCUGACUGUUUCUGUACCUUACUUCUAUUUUCUGUAUGUCUCUUUCCUUUUUCUAGCCAUAAAUCUUCUUUGACCACACACGAUAGCACCGGAAUCUCUCUGAAGUGAAAACAGGUUCGGGGGGCUGCCCAAUCCACGAGUCAUUCUUUGUUCAAUGAAGGUCUGUUAAAUUUAGUUUCUCUAAGGUGUUUUUUUGUUUUUGGUUUUUUUUUUUUUCGAGACGGAAUCUCGCCCUGUUGCCCAGGCUGGAGUGCAGUGGUGCGAUCUCUGCUCACUGCAAGCUCCACCUCCCUGUUCUCCUGCCUCAGCCUCCCGAGUAGCUGGGACCACAGGCACCCGCCACCACGCCGGGCUAAUUUUUUUUUUUUUUUUUUUAAGUAGAGAUGGGGUUUCACUGUGUUAGCCAGGAUGGUCUCGAUCUCCUGCCUCGUGAUCCAUCCACCUUGGCCUCCCAAAGUGCUGGGAUUACAGGCGUGAGCCUCUGUGCCCGGAGUCUGUCUAACGUUUUUAACAGUCCCAAAAGGGGCAUUAGAAAUCCUGGCGUUUUGCUGAUGUUCUGCUUCUUGAUGUAGAUGCUUAUACUGUAGAGCACAUCUCUUCAAGGAGAACUACAAACCACUGCUCAACGAAAUAAAAGAGGACACAAACAAAUGGAAGAACAUUUCAUGCUCAUGGACAGAAAGAAUCAAUAUCGUGAAAAUGGCCAUACUACCCUAGGUAAUUUAUAGAUUCAAUGCCAUCCCCAUCAAGCUACCAAUGACUUUCUUCACAGAAUAGGAAAAAACUACUUUAAAGUUCAUAUGGAAUCAAAAAAGAGCCCGCAUUGCCAAGAUAAUCCUAAGCCAAAAGAACAAAGCUGGAGGCAUCAUGCUACCUGACCUCGAACUAUACUACAAGGCUACAGUAACCAAAACAGCAUGGUACUGGUACCAAAACAGAGAUAUAGACCAAUGGAACUCAACAGAGCCCUCAGAAGUAAUACCACACAUCUACAACCAUCUCAUCUUUGACAAACCUGACAAAAACAAGAAAUGGGGAAAGGAUUCCCUAUUUAAUAAAUGGUGCUGGGAAAACUGGCUAGCCAUACGUAGAAAUCUAAAAUUGGAUGCCUUGCUUACACCUUAUACAAAAAUUAAUUCAAGAUGGCUUAAAGACUUAAAUGUUAGACCUAAAACCAUAAAAACCCUAGAAGAAAACCUAG
rnacentral:lncRNA from 10 species